UACGUAGGGUGCGAGCGUUGUCCGGAAUUAUUGGGCGUAAAGGGCUCGUAGGCGGUCUGUCACGUCGGGAGUGAAAACUCAGGGCUUAACCCUGAGCCUGCUUCCGAUACGGGCAGACUAGAGGUAUGCAGGGGAGAACGGAAUUCCUGGUGUAGCGGUGAAAUGCGCAGAUAUCAGGAGGAACACCGGUGGCGAAGGCGGUAGUCUGGGCCGGUACUGACGCUGAGGAGCGAAAGCGUGGGGAGCGAACAGG
rnacentral:rRNA from 1 species